rnacentral:lncRNA from 1 species
GACUUCAUUAUGAGGCUUGAAAUUACAUAGUAUAGGUACUCUGAUUUCCUCUUUUUUAGUAUUGUAUUAGCUAUUCUGCAUCUUUUGCCUCACCAUAUAAACUUUAGUUUGUCAGAUUUUUAUAGUUUUUCUCAUAUAGAUCUUGUACAUAUGUUGCUUGAUUUAUUUCUAUUCAUUUUUGGGUGCUAAUAUGAGUGAUACGGUAUUUUACAAUUCAAGUCUCAUUUUUCAUUGAUGGUGCAUAAAAAAGUAAUUGUCUUUUGUACAUUAACCGUUUAUUCUGAAACCUAAUCGCUCAUUAGUUUCAGGGUUUUUUUCUUGUCAGUUUCUUUGGAUAUUCUCCAUAGGUAAACAUGUGCUAUAGGUUUUUUAUAGACGUUCCUUAACAAGUUGAGGAAGUCCUCUCCUAAUUUGUUGUUUUUUAAAUCUUGAAUGUUGAAUGUUUUCAACUGCUUUUUCUUCAUUUAUUAAUAUGAAUAUAUGACUGUUCCUUUUUAGCUUGUUGGUGUGAUGAAUAACAUUAACUGAUUUUUAAAUGUUGAACCAGCCUUGCAUCCCUGAAAUAAAUCCCACUUGUUUGUGGUGUAUUAUUCUUUCUAACCUCUCAGAAACUGUAAACAUCUUUAGCUUGUAGAGUUUGAGAAUUUCAUCUGUUCUGGUCUAGGGAAAUAUUUGCUUACUGAAUAAUUCAG